AAGGUCAUGGUGACUUGAAAGAUGAACCAUGGUGGCCUCAAAUGCAGACACGAGCUGAACUCGUCGAAGCAUGCACAAUUAUCAUAUGGGUGGCUUCUGCUCUUCAUGCAGCUGUCAACUUCGGGCAGUAUCCUUAUGCUGGUUACCUCCCAAAUCGUCCAACAGUAAGUCGUCGAUUCAUGCCUGAGCCAGGCACCCCUGAGUAUGCUGAACUUGAAUCUAAUCCUGACGUUGCCUACCUAAAGACAAUCACAGCCCAGUUCCAAACUCUGCUAGGUGUUUCAUUAAUAGAAAUAUUGUCACGACAUGCUUCAGACGAGAUAUAUCUGGGACAGAGAGAAAAUCCAGAGUGGACUUCAGAUGUUGAACCACGACAAUCAUUUCAAAGAUUCCACGACAGAUUAGUAGACGUUGAGAACAGAAUAGUGGAAAGGAACAAUGACAGCAGAUGGAAGAAUCGCAACGGACCAGUUAAAGUGCCAUAUAUGUUGCUAUACCCCAAUGCCUCAGGUGACAACAGUGAAAGUGGACUUACUGGUAAAGGAAUUCCCAAUAGUGUCUCAAUUUGACGUGUUCUACAGCACGAAUAUAAUAGCCUUAUUGGCAACAUAUAGUAUGUAUAUCCACUCUUUUAUGUCAAUAUUUGUUUAGCCAAAUUCCAUCAUUGUUAUGUGUGUUUCUGCUUGGAUUAAAGGAGGUGGAGUUUAAUGGCUUCAUGACUGAGCCCAAGAAGGGAAAAUGCAGUACUGCAUCCUUGUAUCUGUCUAAACACAUCACAUCAGUAUGAACUCUUUUUUUUUUUUUCUGUAACUAUAAAUGAUUUGAUGGUUUCUGCAUAAUGAUCCUAUAUAUGGAAUGCAGCUACAAGCACAUAAGCUAAAUCUAUUGGUAUUGGUUGAUAAUAUUGCGCAUUAACGAGUUAAAAUGGAUUGAAAAUAGUUGUUCUUCAAUGAACAAAUCCAUUAAGAUCAAGAACUCACAGAUUCUGUAAAGCUAAUGAGACUCUUGAUACCCCUGUUGCUUUUUAAAAGAUGGUAUGGCAAAGAGGUUGAAAGUAUUGAUUGAAAUUGUCUCUCAUUAAUUUUAUCAAGCAUCGGAGAGUUUUAAAUAUGUUUGCGAUCAUGUGAUAGUAACAUGAAGGAGAAUCUUUGAGCAACAAUAAAGUUAUCUACGUACAAACUUAUAGCUUAUAGGUCAUGUGUUCGAACUAUAAAAUCAACCACUGCCUACAUAACAUCCCCAAUCCCCAUACAGUGCAGCCCACCUAGAUAAUACCCCUUUGGGAUGCGGUCCUUUCUUGGAGAUGUUUUACACAUCAAACUGCCUUUUUUAUUUGUGGUAUUAAUAUAUAGUACUAAUUUGAGUUCAAAUGAAUUCGAUACCAGUACAACCGUGCAUUUAUAUCUCAACAAUUUUAUAUAACAUAUAUAUAGAUAUCAUAUCAACAAGAGAAGAGAAGUCUAAAAAGUAUUAUAAUAAUUGAAAAACAGCUCAAAGUGCAUAUAAUAUUUGUCAAAGAGAAUAUUAUGAAUAUAAAAGUGUAAGGACGCAGUCCGAGUGUCCGACAGUCACCUCACAUCAACUAUAUAUCCACCUGAAAUAAGAAUCAUUGUGCCUUGCAAUGAAGGUUUUUCCGAUCGUAAAUUAGUGUGAAAUUUGUGCUAUAGAAAAUUGAUUUUCUCUUCUCAUUUUUCGAUUGGAACAACUCAUUGAGAAAAUACAAGAUGAAAAAUAGAUUCUUGCUAAAUUUUUUUUGAGGAAAUCAUUUUAUGGUAUUUUAAUAUGACAUAAGUAUUUUUAUUUUCCAUGAGAAAAUUGUUUUCUGAUAUUUAAUUACAAGAUAAUGUUUUCUAGCAAGAGGAGAAAAAUGAUUCGAGAUCUUCAUUAAUUUUAACACACUUGCCACGACUUCUCUGUCCCAAUUAAUUAAUAUUUACAAAUGCUAAUAUUUAAUGUGUAUUACUUGUGGAAUAUUUAAUUAAAUCUGAUCAAACAGCUUGUUAACCGGAUCUUGAUUGUUUGCUAAUGAUGGGAAUAGUUUAAAAACAUUAUAUUCUGUUGACAAGUCUUCAUUGGACAAGAAGAGCACUUGUGAUGUACUAUAAUUUUAUAAUGUAUCAUAUUACAUUUAUUAUAUUGUAUUAUUUUAAUAAAUAUGGAUAGAUCGUAUCAUUUUUCAUUGUUGUGUAAUGUUACACGUUAGGAAUAAACUUAAUUAAAGAAAUACGGAAUAUGAGGUAGAGUUGCUAUAACAAAGUUGGGGUAAAUGAUAAGAUAUAAUACAUAAAUUUGCUCUUUAACUUUACCUCAUUUCACAUUUAUGCCCUCCAACUUUGGCUGUGCACAAAUAGACACCUAAACUUGUAUAAAGUUCAACAAGUAGAUACAUGAGUCCUAUGUGACAUAAUAUAUGUAAGAGGAUAUCAUGUCGGACGCGUGUGUCUAGUUGUUCAACUUUAUACAAGUUUAAAUGUCUACUUGUAUACACCUAUAAUUGGAAGAUAUAAAUGUGAUUGAGACCAAGUUAAAGAGUAUAUUUAUGUAUUAUACCUUAUAUAAUAAGAAGCAAAGGCAGAAUGAAAAGGUAAAAAAAAGUAACGAUAUGAUCACACCAAAUUGAUUGUUACCUAACAGGAAGUUAAGUAACAAUCAAAACAAACAUUUUGUCGUAAUACAAUUGGUAACAAUCAUCCAAACAAGGUUGACAAGUCAAUGUGAGAAUAUUUUAUGUUGUAUGAUGGUAUUAUUUAUUUUUUUAUGCCCAAUUGAGAUAUCACGUCAACUUCUCUCAGCUAAGACUAUUGACAAUUUCUUAAGACAAUCAUGGUUGCCUCAAUUGAUCCUAGUUGGGAAGUAAUCCAAUAAUAUACAGUACUCUAAUCUAUGCUACUCGGACUUUUCAAAAAAUAUUCCGAACUACAUAGAUUAUAAAAGGACACAAGUCUAGUACUAUUGUUGUUUGCCUCAACAAAAGUUCAUAUCCUUUUUUCAUUUCAACUCAAAACAUCUCUUUAGCAUUUUGUCCAUUUUACUCAAUGGGUUGUGCAGAGAUACUGGAGAAAUUGCUUGAAACAGUUUGCGGUAAACAGCGCGAUGUUCCAGUAGAAAGCGGUACCAUUAAGAUCAAGGGAACAGUUGUAUUGAUGAAGAAGAAUGUUUUGAACUUUAAGGAUGCUGGUUGUGCCUUCCUUGAUCGAAUGCACGAGCUCUUUGGUAAACGCGUUACCAUACAGCUCGUUAGUGCUGAACAUGCUGAUCCUGGUAAUUACAUUUUCUUCUGAUUUUAUUAUGAAGAGAUGCAAGAAAACUUGUUAGUUGUUUUAUAUAGUGGCUAGAAUGCAGAGUGAGAGAACUGUGUGUAAAUCCUGAAUUCUGUAUGCCUGGUUAGUCCUUAUGCUAAAUAGAGCUGAAGUUUUUAGUAUAAGAUGAUAACUGUGACGUCUGGACCAACUUGUUUGCACUUCGACUAAUUCUAGGAGAUACAUGUUACGUUCCACUAGUAUAGAUACUAAGUAACUCUGUAUAUUAAAGCUUGGACAGAUGGGAAGAAAAUCAUCUAUACUGUUUUUGCCUCCGUUAGGAUGUGAACCUGAGACUUCAUGGUUCUCAAUGCACUUUAUUGACCCCUUGGAUACACCCUUAUAUAUUUGAAAGAAUCAUUGAUUAACUCAAUUGCUUCUCCCUCCAUUUCAAAAUAAGUUCAUUUUGUUUCAAAAUAAGUGGUGUUUUACAUAAUUAAGAAGACAUUAAUGAUGUUCUUCUAAUUUUACCCUUAUUUAAAUAAAGAAAGUUUUACAUAACCAAGAAACUACUAAAGAGUUACAUCUUUUUCAAGGUAUUUAUGAAGGGUAAGUUAGUAAAAGUACACCAUAUUUCUAGUAGGAAUGAGUACUUACCUUAAGGGGGUGCGUCCAAGCUAAAAACACCACUUAUUUUGAAAUGGAAAGAGUAACUCAGAAGUCUCGACGAAUAAACUGCAGUCCUGCAUAUAUAAUAUAUAUGUUAUUAUGUAGAAAAUGGAUCGAAAGGGAAGUUGGGAAAGCCAGCAAUUUUGGAAUGGGCAUCCUCCAAGACUUGGAUAUCAGUGGAAGAAGCAGCAUUCAAUAUUACAUUUGACUGGGAUGAGUCAUUAGGAGUUCCUGGUGCUUUCAUUGUAAAGAACAAUCAUCACAGCCAGUUUUACCUCAAGACUCUCACUUUACAUGAUGUUCCUGGAGAGGGUGAAGUUCAUUUUGUCUGCAAUUCGUGGGUGUAUCCUCCACAUCGUUACAACUAUGAUAGAGUGUUUUUCAGCAACAAGGUAUCGAUAUUCUUAACCAAGCUAACAUGUAAAGGGCAUAAAUUCAAAUUUCUAAACUUUUGUUGUUAUUAGACAUACUUGCCAUGCGACACACCAGAACCCCUUGUGCCAUACAGAAAUGAGGAGCUCGUUAAUCUUCGAGGUACAGGUUCUGGUAUGCUCAAGGAAUGGGACAGAGUUUAUGACUAUGCUGUCUACAAUGAUUUAGGAUAUGAUCGACCUGUGCUUGGUCGAUCUAAGGAUUAUCCAUACCCUCGUAGAGGCAGAACAAGUCGUCCACCGACUAAAAGAGGUAAGGUCACAAACACAUAAUGUCAAUCAUAUUUAUAGGUGGCAUAGAACUACCAAAAGAAUAAGCUGAAUAGAGUUAAGUUUGUUGUUGCAGAUUCUAGCUUAGAGAAACGGUUGCCACGUUUGAGUUUGAACAUUUAUGUUCCCCGAGAUGAACUUUUCAACCAUGUGAAGUUUAAUGAUUUCCUUACAUAUAGUGCCACAUCAAUAAUUCGGGUUGUAAUCCCAGAGACCGCGUCUGUGUUAUCUAGACCUUUCAACGAGUUCAAAAGCUUCGAACGUGUACUAGAAUUCUAUAAAGAUAGUGAUGAGGAAAGGUCCAGGGAAUGUCUGCCAUGGAAAAUACUCAAAGGGCAAUUUCAUAAAUAUCCAAUUCCUCAUGUAAUUGGAGGUACCCAUGUCUUCCCUUUCUAUGUCUCCACAACUAAGUUUAGCCUUUGAGUACUUCCUAAGGUGAAAAGAUAAGUACUAAUUGUGAACCUUUUUGAGAAAACUACAGAAGAUAACUCAGCAUGGAGGUCAGAUGAAGAGUUUGGACGUGAAAUGCUGGCUGGCGUUAACCCUGUGAUAAUCCAGCGUCUACAGGUAAAUAUCAUACACAAAUCUUUUUUUUUUUUGGCAUAACACAUAAACAGAUACUCAAACAUGGCCUCAGUUACUCCAACUUUGAGUAUGCACAUCCAGAAACCUCAACUCAUCUCAAUUGUGUCAGUUGAACACUCCAACUUAUGAAAUGAUCAUUUAGUCACCUCUAAAAUUUAUGUGUCAUGUCAACAUCGUGUGUCCAUGAGACACAGUAGAGAUGGGUUGGAGUGAUUACUUGCCAGAUGAAGACAAGUUUGAGUGUUUGUUUAUGUAUUGUAAUUCUUUCACUCUGAAUGAUAAGUACUAAAAGACUAAAUUCUUAUCAGGAAUUUCCACCCACAAGCAUGCUAAAUCCUGAAGUAUAUGGCAACCACACCAGUAAAAUAACAAGGGAGCAGAUUGAGAAAUACAUGGAUGGACUAACUGUGGAUGAUGUAAUACUCUUUUUUAUCUUUCCCUAGUGAUUAUCGUAUAUAAAGGAAGAGAAAACGAAAGCAUUCUUUGUAUUGGAACACUUAUCAUCUGUCUCUAGUACUUUAGAUGUUAUAUAUUUAUGCGUUUAUCUUUUGUGGACACAGGCAAUAAAGAAUGAUAGGCUAUUCAUCUUAAAUUAUCAUGACCUACUUAUGCCUUAUAUUACUCGGAUUAACUCAACAACCACAAAGAUCUAUGCUAGUCGGACCAUCCUUUUACUCCAAGACGAUGGAACAUUGAAGCCACUUGCGAUUGAACUGAGCUUACCACAUCCACAAGGAGAUAAACAUGGUUCCACCAGUCAAGUAUUUAGCCCAAGUAAUGAUGAGAGCGUCGAAGGCUAUGUCUGGCAUCUGGCCAAAGCUUAUGUUGCAGUAAAUGACUCUGGAUAUCAUCAGCUCAUCAGUCACUGGUGCGCAACUUAAAAUUGUUGAAUUUAGAUGCAUGUUACCUCUUGAAGUGACUACUAAUUCUGCUACUUUUUGCUUCCAGGCUGAACACACAUGCAGUGAUAGAACCAUUCAUUAUAGCAGCAAACAGACAAUUGAGUGUGGUUCAUCCAAUCUAUAAGCUUCUACAACCCCACUUCCGCGAUACAUUGUACGUCAAUGGUUUGGCUAGGCAGAUCCUCAUUAAUGCAGGUGGAAUACUUGAAUCGACCGUAUUCCCAUCCAAGUAUGCCAUGGAAAUGUCUUCUGUCAUCUAUAAGGAUUGGGUGUUCACUGAACAGGCACUCCCUGCAGAUCUACUUAAAAGGUAGGCCAGUACAUAGUCGUUACAACGACUUAAAACUCAAUGUCAUCUCCAUUUUGUCCAAGAAACACUCUCAUUUUUCUUUUCAAUUUCAGAGGAGUUGCAGUGCUAGACUCAAGCCAGCCUAAUGGCCUUAGACUCCUGAUAAAGGAUUAUCCUUUCGCGGUUGAUGGACUUGAGAUUUGGUCAGCAAUUGAAGCCUGGGUUGACGAAUACUGUUCCUUCUAUUACUCAACUGAUGACACGAUCCGUGACGACACUGAACUCCAGUCUUGGUGGAUGGAAGUUCGCAAUGAAGGUCACGGUGACUUGAAAGAUGAAUCAUGGUGGCCUCAAAUGCAGACACGAGCUGAACUCAUCGAAACAUGUACAAUUAUUAUAUGGGUGGCUUCUGCUCUUCAUGCAGCUGUCAACUUUGGGCAAUAUCCUUAUGCUGGUUACCUCCCAAAUCGUCCAACAGUAAGUCGAAGAUUCAUGCCUCAGCCAGGCACCCCUGAGUAUGCUGAGCUCGAGUCAAACCAUGAACGCGCCUACCUAAAGACAAUCACAGCUCAGCUACAAACUCUUAUGGGCAUCUCAUUGAUAGAGAUGUUAUCUAUGCAUUCUGCAGAUGAGAUUUAUCUCGGGCAACGAGACACUCCUGAAUGGACUUGUGAUCGACAACCACGACAAGCAUUGCAGAGAUUCAGUGACAAGUUGGUUGAAAUCGAAAACAGAAUAAUGGAUAGGAACAAUGACAAUAUAUUGAAGAACAGAAAUGGACCUGUAAAAUUGCCUUAUACAUUACUAUAUCCAAAUGCCACAGGUGACAAGAGUGCAACAGGACUUACUGGCAAGGGAAUCCCCAAUAGUGUCUCAAUAUGAAAGUUACAUGAUAUUGCAAUGGUUUGUUGUAUAUGAAAUCACACAACUUCAACGCUAUCGGU
rnacentral:lncRNA from 1 species